UGCAAAUUCCCCCCAUAAACACGGCUUUAACAGCUCUUACUUGCAUUGAAGCUGCCUCUGAGUACAUCCGUUUCGCUCAUAUAUACAAUGUCCCGUAUUUCUGCAUGCGGAUUG